AAGACAGCAGUUCAGCUCCCAAACCCCGCAGAUCCCUGAAGAGCCAAGGGUCCCUUGGAGACGCUAGUUCCAGAGCCCCCUGCCUUCCCUCCUUCUGUCUCCCAGUUCUCCUGGCAGUGGAGCUCCAGAGAAGUCCCUGCACUGACAGCUGCCCAGAAUUCCCUCCUAUUAACAGAGAGAGAUGUAGAGAGAAUUGGAGAUUUCCUUCCAGCUGUGAUCUUAUGAUGAACUGAUAAAUUGAUCAAUGAGGAGUAAAACACAUGUAAGAUGCAAAGCUGUAUAUGGUACAAUGCGUCUGUUAUGUCAUUUGAAGCUGGAUUUGGUUGCAUUUUGCACAGUGGGA